ensembl:lncRNA
CACUCCGCGGCGCCCGAAGCCCCACGGGAGGGCUGCUCUGGGCCCAGGGCCUCGCUAAGGGGGCGAAUCCCCGAAGGCACAGGCUGUGCGCCCCGACCUCGCACCCCAGCCUCGAGCUUCCUCCCUGAGCGCGUGCCAGCGAGCCAGCGGACCAACCAACGGGUUCGCCUACUUGUCCACCAGGGUUUUUCAACCCGGGCACCUUUGACGGUUGCGGGGGGCUGAUUCCCCGCGGGGGGGCUGUCCUCCACGCUGUUGGAGGCUGAGCAGCAUCUCUGGCCUCCCCCGCUAGAUGCCCGGAGCACCGCCUUCCCAGCGGGAGGACCGCAAAGCCUUCCCGACCUUGCUUCCCGCGGCUGGAGGGGGAAGGAGAGCAUCACCCUGGUGGAGACUCUUGAAUAUUGACUUCCCGGGAAUUCCAUAAAAUUUGUAUCUUAAAAAGUAUCGUGACAAGGAUCUAAUUCAGUCACAAAAGCAAAGAAAAAAUAAAAAGGAACUCAUCUUUCUGCCUGAGUGGAGCCUUAUUCAUGCAGUUAGUCUGCAGGUCUGUUGCUCAACACCAGCUGGAGUGAACACUGGACACGAUCGUCUUAAUGAGGGAACUUCUGAUGCAAAUGAAAAGCAUAUGCUUGCGGGGAAAAUAGCCUGGAAAAAUAUGGAGCCUGUGGAGGGAUUCCAUCAGAGUAAGGCUCUUGGCCUUUCCCACCUUCACUUCCAUGGGAAGACUUGUCACACCUCCCUGGACAGCUUGAGAGAAGGAUUGACAUGCUCCGAUCAGGCUCUUCUGGACACCCUUCAAGGACUACCUGUCCACAGAGUGAGCUAACAGGAUGAAGUCCAAGUUUUUCAUCCCUGAGGCAUUGUGAAAGGCCCCACACCAUCUGCUCCCCAGCUACUUUUGAACAUUUUACCUCCUGCCAUGUUCAAUAGGAAUCCUCUGUUUCCAGAAAGCCAUCCCUCUGACUCCCAGCCUCGAUGUUUUGUUCAUCAUCUUCUCUUACCACCUUUACCAUAUUGAAAGUGUUCUCCCUGCUUCUUUCUUUUUGAGAAAUCUCAACUUACCUCAUCAGUUACUUUAAAAAUGGGUUUUGAAGACCAUCCUUGCAGUUUUCUGAACAUAUCUGUCCAUUUUCAUUCCACUAUGUUGUAAGAAAAAUAGUGAUGAGUUGCCACAGGAAAUGAGAGGAAGGGCAGAUCAUCUCAAGAUGGGGCUGUCAGGGAAGGCUCUCUAGAAAGUAUGCACAUGUAUUGGGCCAUAAAGGCAGAUAAGAUUUAGAUAUAUGGAGAUGGUCAAGAUAGGGGAUAAGAAAUCUACAAGGAAGAGACAAAAUUAUCAGCAAGGAAAUUACUCACACAUUUGGGAAUUGUUGAAUGGUUGAGCCAAGCACAAGCUGAGUUUUAUUUUCUUAACUCUUAAAAUAUGUGUUGUCUGUUCCACUUACUUUUUUAUGUAACUGAUUACCUUUGUCUCUAUCAUAUCAUCUCUCUAUAUAUGCCACAUCAUUUAAGUUAUCUCUCAAUCUACCUACUGGAAUGGUUUAUGUACA